UACGUAGGGGGCAAACGUUGUCCGGAUUUACUGGGUGUAAAGGGUGCUCAGGCGGUCUUGUAAGUUAGAAGUGAAAUCCUAGGGCUCAACUCUGGAACUGCUUUUAAUACUGCAAGGCUUGAAUAUGGAAGAGGAGGGUGGAAUUUCUGGUGUAGCAGUGAAAUGCGUAGAUAUCAGAAAGAACACCAGUGGCGAAGGCGGCCCUCUGGUCCAUUAUUGACGCUAAAGCACGAAAGUGUGGGGAGCAAACAGG
rnacentral:rRNA from 1 species